GUCAUUUAGUUUUUUACAAAGUUAGAAUGUCGCCAAAAAGCACUGGAUAAUAGUACUUAAUCAAGCUUAAACAACACUUGACAUUUAUUACAGGAUCUUCAUAGCUGUCUACUCAUAGUAAAAGAACAGAAAGAACUAUUAAUCUUUAUAGCUGUUCUGGUGAGACAACAGUAAGAAACACACCAGACCUUUAUUGAUUUAAGGAAAAACUAGCAACUAAAUGCAGCUCCUACGGUGUACAGGAGGUACGUGGUGGCAAUGGGCCAUGGUACGUAGAAGGUGGCAGGUUUGUUGGUGGGGUGGAUGGUCUAGUUUAUGGAGUGAGCAGAAGCCCAUAUGGAGGAGGAGAAGGGGGCGAAUAUGUAGUUGGUGGUGGUGGUGGUUGGCCAUACGUAGGUGUAGGUGUAGGUGUAGGUGGUCGUGGCUGCCUAUGAGGAGGAGGCGGUGAGUGAAUUCGUCUUGGCGGAGGAGGAGAGAUAGUCGGUGGUGGUUGGCCAUAAGUAGGUGUAGGUGUAGGUGGUCGUAGCUGCCUAUGAGGAGGAGGAGGCGAGUGAAUUCGUCUUGGCGGAGGAGGAGAGAAAGUCGGUGGUGGUGACUGCACUUGGCGAGGCGGAGGCGAGUAAAUUGGUGAUGGUGGAGGUGGUGAGUAUGCAGGUGGAGGAGGCGAGUAUGUUGGUAGAGGCGGUGGUGGUUGUGCAUAUGCAGGGGGAGGAGGCGAGUAUGUAGGUGGAGGAGGAGAAUACGUUGGCGGUGGUGGUGGUGAGUAUGCAGGUGGAGGAGGCGAGUAUGUUGGUGGAGGCGGUGGUGGUUGUACAUAUGCAAGGGGUGGAGGCGAGUAUGUAGGUGGAGGAGGAGAAUACGUUGGCGGUGGUGGUGGUGAGUAUGCAGGCAGAGGAGGGGAAUACGCUGGGGUAGGUGGAGGUGAUUGUCCAUAUGCGGGUGGAGGUGGCGAGAGGGAUGGUGGUGGUGGAGGAGGUGAGUAAAUUGGUGAUGGAGGCGGUGGUGAAGGCGAAUAUGUAGGUGGAGGUGGGGAAUACGUUGGUGGUGGUGGUGAGUAUGCAAGCGGAGGAGACGAAUAUGUAGGUGGAGGUGGGGAAUACGUUGGUGGUGGUGGUGAGUUUGCAGGCGGAGGAGGUGAGUAAAUUGGUGAUGGUGGCGGUGGCGAAUAUGUAGGCGGAGGAGGGAAGUACGUUGGUGGUGGUGAGUAUGCAGGCGGAGGAGGCGAGUAAAUUGGUGAUGGUGGCGGUGGAGAGUAUGUCGGUGGAGGAGGUGAGUAUGUUGGUGAGGGCGGAGGUGGUUGUGCAUAUGCAGGUAGAGGAGGUGAGUAAGUUGGUGGUUGCCUAUGGGGAGAAGGUGGUAGAUGUCUUGGGGGUGUAGGCUGAUGAGUAGGUGGUACAUGUCGAUGAGUGGGUGGUUGUGGUUGAUGUCCACGUGAAGGUGGCGACGGUGUUGGUUGUACGUGUGUAGGUGGAGGAGGUGAGUAAGUCGGUGGUGGUUGCACUUGAGGAGGAAGCGAGUAGAUUGGUUCCGGUGGUGGUUGUGCAUAUGUAGGUGGUGGAGUAUGUCCAUGUCGACUCGGAGGUGAAGGUUGAGGAUGGCUUGGCGGGUGUUGUCCUCUAGGUGGCGUGUGUCCUCUAGAUGGUGGCGUGUGUCCAUGCGAUGGUGGAUGGCCGCCACC
rnacentral:lncRNA from 1 species